AUUGAUUUUAUCUUAAUUGAAUUAAAUAACUAACACUCUUUUCCAUUGUAAUAAUCUUACUUUGUAAUUUGCUUAUUAUUAUUCUGAGACCUGGGAUUGACCAGAGUAAAAUCACUCGUUGUCUAUGGUUUGUCUGUGAUUAAAACUGAGGAAGUCGUCGAAGUCGAGUCGGCCAUCUUUCUUUAUCGGGGAUUGUUGUCGUUUGUUUUGCCGCUCCGGCUGCGCAAAACUAUUCAUUAUUUCUGAUUAAUUGUGGAUUGUUCAGGUGAAAAUGUUGUAAAAUGUGCCGGCGCUAUAUACACCAUGUUCCGCCCAGACAGACCCUGUCCAGAGGGAACCACUUUGAAAGGAGACAGCUGAGGAGCAAGUCCAGCUGACAGAAAGUAUGAAUAUGACGAUACACUUGGAUACACUUUUGCAAAAGGAAUUAAUUACCAGCAUAACGCAGAGAAUCGAUAGCAGUUUAUUGGUGGCGGCGCUAUAUCCGCCAUGUUCCCCUCAGACAGAACCGUGUCCAGAACCACCAGGACAAGUUCGCUGGCUUGCUUGACACCGGCGUCUACUCGCCCUCCGUGCAGCACAUCCUGUACGGGUUUUGCAAUUUACAUCACCUGGGUGAAGAUGACGAUGCAACAUCGACAUGUCGAAGUACCCAGCGAAUGUGACGACAGGAGUUCCUGUCAAAAUCUUUGAUAGUGCGCGUCUUCUUCUUCUUGGCGUCCUAUGACCCCCCCGUGGGGGAAAGGGCAGACACAACGGUUCUCCAUCUCAGUCUGUCGAAGGCAGCGGGCUUCACCUCGGACCACGUCAUCUCCGUGUCCUGCAUCUCGUCAUGAAAGUGUGCAUCAAUGAAAAUAUAAUACCUAAAUGGCCAUUAGAAUUGAAUUACGUUCACCCUAGAUAACACAGUACACAGUCAUGCAUGCACUAUAAUACCACAAUAGGUAUAUUAUAAUGUUAUGCUCUUAGGUAUAUAUUAUAAUAUAAUGAGCUCUUAAAAGAGCUAUGAUAUAAUUAAAGCUAUCGAUGUUAACUGUUAUUGGUCACACCAGAGUAAAAGUUCUUACUGUACCUUAGUUAAUGAAAAAUAAAUAAAUUAUGAUUAUUAUUAAUAAGCACACUAUACAGAAAUCUUGAAUCAGAAUAUAGGCUAAGAAUUUUGUAAAAAAAAAUAAUAAAUUUAGAAAUACCAUUGUGAUCUUAAUCAUACCUACUUAUAACAAUAUAAAAUAAUUUAACAUGAUUGUGUUGAUGUAGUUUCUAAUGUGGAUUUGUAUAAAAUAAAAUAAAUUUGUCUUGGCAUCUUUUAUUCACAUAUUAAGAAACCAAAAUAAAUCUA